CUGUCAUUUGGCAGAAGAGAGUUUGAAAAGAAACUCAGUCAGUCAGUCUGUGGUCAGAGAACUACAGGGAAGGUUCAUUUUAGUCUGGGCUCUGGUGAAGCUCAGAAGGCUGAUCCUGAGUUAGGGGAUCAGGGAUGAAAUAAGUUUGGUGACUUAUUUUAAGAUAAUCUGUUGGUGAAGAAAGAACUGACGUUUUAAGAACAACAACAACAACUGCAAAAGGCCACCCUACUGGGAUCUGCUCGCAUCAUCCGAAAAUACAUCACACAGUCCUAGACACUUGGGAAGUGUUUGACUUGUGAUUUUGUGAUACGAAAUCCGGCAUAUCUAUCUUGUUUGCUGUGUCAUACAGUAAUAAUAAUAAUAAUAAUAAUAAUACUUUUAUUUCUUACCCACCUCUCCUCAUGGCUUGAGACAAAUUACAACAUAGUUAAAAUACAUAAUAAUUAUAAACCUUCUAUAAAAUACACAUAUUAAAAUGUAUUUCUAUACAUAUUAAAAUACACAGAACAAAGGUUAAAACACAGGAUGCGAGUUUAAAAAUUACAUCCAAUACAAUAAAUGCAUAAGGACAUAAUCUGAUGUCACAGUGGUGGUGAGGUCACAAUUGUGUGUCUUAGUACUGGACUGAUAACUCCUUGGGAAGGAGUUAAGUUGCUAUCAGUUGCCAGAAAAGGUGAUAUUUCAAUAAAAACAGGAGCUUAAAGCACUUUUUUGUGCAUAAUUAUUCUGCCUAUCAUUUCCUGUGAGUUAACAGCAAAUACAGGUUGUUGACUAUGUGGUGGUGUGAAUGAUCCCGGGAAAUGAAAUUGAACAAUGUCUAUAGUUAUUUUAAUUUGUCUAUUUGUCUAAUCAGCAUUUCAUGAUGGGACCCAAUAGGUCUUUAAUUUAGAACAGUGAAUCUUUGGUCUUUCUAGAUCUAAGGUUUAGCUUUAACUGUAAUGAUGCAAGAAUUUUAAUAUAUCACAGCCAUUUCUAAAUAUGGUACUUAUAACAAUAUUAGCAUUUUGUCCAUUUAGUAGUGGAUUGCCCUAAAAAUGUAUAUUCAUGCUGUCUUAUGCAAGAAGGAGGCACCCAUCGGUAUCCCUGUCCAUGGUGCUGAUGAAGCAAGGCUGGCAAACAUGAAGGCCCUAAUGCUUAUAAUGACAGCAGUGUUGCUGGUGACAUAGGGAAUUUAAUUGACAUUAUCCAUCUCUUGGUAUCUUAUAGUGUGCAUGAUCCCAGAGGAUGAGAGAGCUAGUGGGAUAAAACUAUGGAAAUGGAGUGUGCUAGAAAGGCAUACAGUUCAGAUAAAAUUCAGUAUUAAUAAAUAACAGGAAUGAAGAACAUGUUUCCCUGAAUAUGUUGUUGGAGUUUGCUGCUCCUAGCCAGUACAGUCGACACUAAAUAAUGGGAAUUUCAAUCUAACAGAAACUACUGAGCCAGACAUUGCCCAUUUGUGCCACAUGGGCUACAGGAGUGCAUGAAGCAUUAACUACAGAAAUAGUGGUAACCUGCCAGUACUGGCCUACCAUGGCCAAGAUUAUAUAUCACUGCUGCAUAAGCUGAGAUCAUGCAGCAGAAAGAUCAUUGGGAAUGAUUCAUCACUGUGUUGCCAGCUAUUUGGCACAUAGCUCAAUGUUUCUCUACCACCUUGGCUGUCCAUCAGCCAGUGAAUUAUCAUGAUUCUGGGGAAUAUGAGAAAGGUUGGCUUGAAGGAAUGAGAAUCAUUUCAGGAGGGAAGUAGUAAAAUCCUCUUUCUACAAAGACCAAACAAAGACAUAUGACAGCAUUUUGCCAGUGUAUGUAAUGAACAGGACGACAGCAAUUAUGUAUAUCUUCUCAUGCGGACUUGGACACAGAUUAUACUCUGCAGUUCUCAUACUGAAUGGCAGUGUUGUAUACCUGAACAUAAACAUGCAAACACCAUAUGGAUGUUAACCAGAAGAUACCAUAUUACAGUGUACAAACUUGAAAUUAUUUAAUUUGUAUGGAAAUAAGCAUGAUCACUUGUUGUAAUAUGUUCUUUCCUGGAAAGACUAGUGUUAAGCUGCCAACCUUUCUGAUUAUGCAACUUCUCUUGAACACAACAACAGAGACACUCUAUAGACUCCAAUCUUCUCUAGUACAUUAUUGAAGAGAUUACAUCACCACUGAGAGUAACGCUGCUACAAUUCAGAAGACUGUGUGUGUAUGUAGGUAGGGGUAAUCCUCCACCUACUGCAGCUUUCCCAAUCUCGCCCCCCCCCCCCCCAAAAAAAAAACUGCUCUAAAAAUGCAAACUACUCUGGAGAUGAUCUCUGAGCAACCUCACAGUAGGCCCAAAAUCUUGACACUGCCACCAAUUUCACAUAAACAUGUUACAUAAACAGAAUGGCACAAGUGAAUACAAAAAUAGCAGAAUGAAACAAAUUCCACAUGUGAUAAAAGUCAGGUUAGAAGCAUCCUAUCACAGUUUUCAGAAUGCUGUAAGAGGCGAAAAGUCCUGUGAGGGGAAAACUAUAAGUUAGAGGCUUGUCUGUAAAAGAGUUAGUUAGGAUUGUUAGAGUCAGAGUGAAUAAAUUUUGGGAGCUCAGAAUGAGGAGAAUUUGGGGAGCUCAUGUUAAUUUUUGCUAUAUGCUAAGUGUGUGUCUGCGCAUGUAUGCAUGCUUUCAAAUUGUCUGUUGAGUUAUGAUAACCCCAUGAAUUUCCAGGAAUAUUCUUGGUGGUUUUUUCAGUGAAAUUUUUACUAAUUUUAUUUUUUACAACCUUGGCUGGCUUCAUCUAAGAACUAGAAUGGAACACUGUUCAUGUUUUACCACACAGAGUCCACUGAUCAGCACAGCUACCUGUAUGAAAGUUAUCUUGAGACCUGAGAACUGGUUGCAGGGAAAGAUCCUGAGAGUAAAAGGGCAAGAUGAGCCAUAAGAGCCCAAGGAUUAGAGCUACAGAGCCAGCCUAGAUAGGAGUUCCAAUCCAUUCGCUAAUACUAAAUUACUGAUCUCUACUUUGAAUAACCCAUCAAAAGUGCAAUCUUACAUCUAUUCACUUUUAGCACGAUAAAUGUCUGAAAGUCUCCCUUAUUCCUUAACUAAUUGCUCAAGAUGAAACAAUAUUUUUAUAAAAGAAAUACUGUAUUCAGUCAAAUUAAUCAAACUCAGAUAUGUCUAUAAACAUCUUACUGCAUAUUUCAUAUUUCAAGAGAUUCAAUUUAAACUGGGUAUUGAUUUGGAUCAAUAAAAUGUUUCAGAUAAAAAUUAAAACCAGCAAACCAAACCAAAGUAGCUGGAUAGUAAAUACUAUACUGAAAGAUGUGCCAAAACAGUUGGGAUUAAGAAAUGGCUUUAUGCUAUUGUGACCUAGAUAGGCCAUGAUUCCUGGCUUAAAGCAUUUGGACUUUAAUUCUAAGAAUAUGUACUUAGCCUUACACCCACUCACCUUUGUUUGUCUUGCAAAAUUAUUUGUUUAAUAUUUUACUUAAUUAAAUCUGUCAGUUUUGUACACCUAUGAUGUGCCAAACCUUCUGGCAAGGCCAUGACCCAUUCCUCAGGCAAAAGAGAAGAUUUUCAGUUCAUCAGAGAUUCUCAUUACACCCAAGCAGAGCAUCAAGAAGUCUCAGGCCCUGUCUACACGGCCAUAUAAAAUCCAGAUUAUCUGCUUUGAUCAUUUAAAUUAUAUGGCAGUGUAGAAGGGGCAUCAGAGGCCCCUAUGAUUUUCAAUUCCAAUAAAGCUAGAAUAUAAAACUAAUUUGUAUACCAAAAGGACUGCUACUAAAGCCAUCAGCAAAUUGCACUUCAAAAAAGUGGCAUGAACCAUUUCAUGAAUAAAAGAAAUACGGGAACUCGUGGCAGCAUAUAUGAUCCCGAGCCAAGAAUACAUGUGCUUUAAUCCAAGAUUAUUUCAUGCACCAAGCCUCACAGUCAAUUUUAUCAAUUUUGUGCCUUUUUAUUGAUCUCUGUGUAAUUACCAUGACUGCUAAUCCUUCUCACACAUCCAUAAUGUGCCAGAUUUGCUGGUUAAAUCUCAUUGCUUUUAUAAGGCAGCAGGGCUGGUCUCCAGUUUGCUUCUUCUCAGGCAGCACUAAGGUAUCGAGAAGCUUCUGCAAAACCAUCAGAUUUCCAGCACAAUGAACCUCUUUGUGCUGACAGGUAUUGCCUGUAUCUUGUUAUGUGGAGUGAAUCUGGCAUGGGCAGCUGACAUUGAUGUUCCAGUUGACAUUUCUGUAAAUGAAGAGGGAACCCCAAAGGAAAACAAUGCAUCUGAAACCAACCCCAUAGAAGAUUCAGGGUCAAGUUCACCAUCUUCUGCUGAAGAAUCAUCUCCUCAUGAAGAUCCAGAAUCUUCUACAGAAGAGGAACCUGCUGAUGGUGAUCCAGAAUCUUCUACAGAAGAGGAACCUGCUGAUGGUGAUCCAGAAUCUUCUACAGAAGAGGAACCUGCUGAUGGUGCUGCACCCUCUUGUACAGAAGUGCAACCUUCUGAUGAUGGGCCAGCACCAGCAGAGCACAUUUUAAGGAGGGCCAGGGAAGGAAGAGUGAUGGCCUGGAGCUCAGUGGAGCUGCAUCCUUUCUGGACUACCUUAAAAAUCCCCUCUCUUUUCUCUACUGCCUGCAAUCUCCUUUCUGCUCCAGUUUAAACUUCCUUAAAGGUGUAUCUACUUUUACUCUAGAGGAGAGAUAGGCUUCUCUUUUUGUUUGCUGGGAUUACUAUUGUUAAUAAUGAUGAUUAUCUUUUAGAAGUACUUUCUGAAGGAGAGGAAGGGAAGGAGAAAAAGAAGCUAAAGUAAAAGGGUGACUCUUCAAGCCUUCAAAUGCAUGCGCACACAACACACCCACCGUCCGUCAGGUCCCCAACUCCCACUAAAUAAAAAGUAUAAGGAAAAUAAAGGAAAAUCAAAAACAUUCAACUGUGAUGCCAAGUAGGGGAGGAGGAGGAGGAGCCGAGAUUGGCUCCCGUUUGCUUUCAUUGCGGGUGGGUUUUCGUACUGGGAGGGCCCUUACCAUUUUGGGCUCCCAAAGUACCUAAGGUACUGAAGGAAAUGGAAGAAACAAAAUCUGCACAUAAGUCUAAUAUAAACUGAUAAUGUAUCCAAAACCAUCACUUCCUUGAGGUCUUUAUCUAUAAAUCCUAUGUUCAUGCAGCUACAGGAAUAAGUUCCUCUGACCACUGAGUAAUAAAUAGUGAAUAAUAAAUAGUGGGCCUCCGGUGGCACAGUGUGUUAAAGCGCUGAGCUGCUGAACUUGCAGACUGAAAGG